UUCUUGUUUGAAUUUUGAAUAUUUUAAAUUCAGUUCCAACAUAUAUUUUUUGUUUUUCUAAUUACAACAAAAAUGUAUGAAGAAGUAAAAGCAUUUUUAGAGUUUAUUGAUAAUAUUGGAGAAGAAAAUCGCCCGGGAAGUAUACAAAAGCGAUAUAUUCAAGAUAAAAAUAUAAUCUAAAAUACAAUGGAGUAUUACAAUAUUGAAGUUCAUCAGCGAAUCAGCGCAUUAACUUAAACAAUAAAGGUUUUAUGCUACUUAUAGGAAUAUAACCAGUUUUUAUGAGGACCCCGCUUUCCAAAAAUGUACAGGUACUAGAAGAGAAAUUAUGUGUAUUAUUGUUCAACAACAAGGUUAUCAAGUCAUUCAAUAUUUGAUCUAAGAGCAUUAAGAGUGAAAUUGUGAAAUGGAAAGAAGUGAAAUUCCAGGAUUAUUAAUAGGAAUAGAUGACAGUAGUGGGUAUGCAUGCAGACACUAUCUACUUACCCCAGUAUUACACCCAGGUAAUGAUCAAGAAAAUAAGAUUUUUACCAUAGUACUCAUGUGAGAACAAGAAAUGUAGAAAAGCUAUUUGGAACCUGGAAAAGAGUUUCCUUGUCUUCAACAAGGUCUACAAACCAAAUUAUAUACAUGUCUUGCAAUAAUAUGUGCUACAGCAGUACCUUACAAUCUAGGUAAAUAAUGAUCUGGUGGUAAAUAGACAUGUUAAUGAUGUGGAACAAUUUCUAAAUUUUUGGUGACAUUUUUUUCAACAAUAUUUUGCAUGAGAAUACAUUAUUGAAUACCUA